GACGAACGCUGGCGGCGUGCUUAACACAUGCAAGUCGAACGGAAAGGCCCUGCUCUUGCGGCGUGCUCGUGUGGCGAACGGGUGAGUAACACGUGUGGAUCCUGCCCUUAUCUUUGUGGUAAAUUUACGAAACUGGGGCUCUUAUCGGAUAGGAGCUCCUGCUGCACAGUGGUGGUUGGUAAGUUUCGGCGGUUGGGGAUGGUCUCGCGGGUUAUCAGCUGGUUGGUGGGGUAGUGGCUUACCAGGGGUUUGAAGGGUAGCCGGCCUGAGAGGGUUACCGGCCACAUUGGGACUGAGAUACGGACCAGACUCCUACGGGAGGCAGCAGUGGAGAAUAUUGCGCAGUGGGCGGGAGCCUGAGGCAGCAACGCCGCGAGCGGGAUAACGGCUUUCGGGUUGUAAACCGCUUUCGCAUGAGCCGAAGCGUGAGUGACGGUAAUGGGUCAAGAAGCCCCGGCUAACUACGUG
rnacentral:rRNA from 1 species